ensembl:lncRNA
GGAAGGUUCUGAGACAUAUUGACAGUUUGACUGGAAGGUUCUGAGACAUAUUGACAGUUUGACUAGAAGGCUCUGAGACAUAUUGACAGUUUGACUGGAAGGUUCUGAGACAUAUUGACAGUUUGACUGGAAGGUUCUGAGACAUAUUGACAGUUUGACUAGAAUGUUCUGAGACAUAUUGACAGUUUGACUGGAAGUUUCUGAGACAUAUUGACAGUUUGACUGGAAGGUUCUGAGACAUAUUGACAGUUUGACUGGAAGGUUCUGAGACAUAUUGACAGUUUGACUGGAAGGCUCUGAGACAUAUUGACAGUUUGACUGGAAGGCUCUGAGACAUAUUGACAGUUUGACUGGAAGGCUCUGAGACAUAUUGAGAGUUUGACUGGAAGGUUCUGAGACAUAUUGACAUUUGAAGGUUCUGAGACAUAUUGACAGUUGAAGGUUCUGAGACAUAUUGACAGUUUGACUGGAAGGUUCUGAGACAUAUUGACAGUUUGACUGGAAGGUUCUGAGACAUAUUGACAGUUUGACUAGAGGGCUCUGAGACAUAUUGACAGUUUGACUAGAAGGCUCUGAGACAUAUUGACAGUUUGACUAGAAGGCUCCGAGACAUAUUGACAGUUUGACUGGAAGGUUCUGAGACAUAUUGACAGUUUGACUGGAAGGUUCUGAGACAUAUUGACAGUUGAAG